CACUGGCAGCAGCACACAAUCAAAACAGUCAAUAUUGCAAAAACCCAACACACCAAUGAAAGAGAGUUUCAUUAAGAUGAGUGGGAUUUAACCUGUACUCAUGGGGGUGCAGGGGAAAAUGGAUUGAAUGUCCUAUCAGCUUUGUCACAGGGAGAAUGAGUAACUACCCCUAGGCUACUGUUGCAACAUUGUUUUGAAAAAUAUGAACAUCUCCAUUUUCAGAAGGUCUUUGAUAUCUGGCAGGGCACAAGCCCUUGGAUUAGGACCUGUCUUUGCUUUGUCACUUGACAUUCUGUUCAGGUUUGGCUGAAACAAACUGUUUAAAAAAACAAAAAACCCACACCUCUCUUCUGUUUGCAUCGUGCACAGAGAUUUUGGCAGCCUCCCAAAACAACAACUGCACAUGAACAUUCUGAGGUUGGGCUAAUGCUGCCACUGGAGCAGCAACAGAGGGCACUGUACUAGCAAUACCUGGGAGGAGCUGCCAAGGCAGAUUUCGAGGGAAUGGGGAAAAGUUUCCAGGCUGGGCUUCCCCGACCAAGCACCCUUAGCUACUGGGGAGUCACAGCACCUCCCCCAUUGCCGCCCCCCACCCCCCCGGCUCCUGUCUCCAAUGGCCCACCCCACGCCCUCUGGGAUAAUAGCCUUCUCCUGCUGCCAGUUAAUGCAGUUAGUCCUGUAGCUCAAGUGGUAGCUGUCUGUACUGACGAUUUACAGUUCAAACCUGGCUGACAAUGCAUGAUGGGGGGGGUGAAAGUUGUAAGUAAAAGUUUGGGUCCCCCCCUCCCCCCCAAAGAAUACACACAGAGAAAAUUAUAAAAUAUAUUUAAAAAUACAUUAUUCACAUGGCAAUGGCAAAUUCUCGAAAGUUAGGAAACCAGAUUUACUCUGGCCCCUGCAACAUUAAAUCUGAGCCCUUGUGGUAUGCCCCAUACAGUUUAACUGCAUGGUCACAUACUAUUUGUUUUCCACAGGACCCCUGCCUCAUUCAGUAAGUGGGACAGAAUCACAAGAGGCAGAAUUAAAAUUGCACAAGCAAACGUGGGACGGGCAGCACCACCUAUUAAAAAAAUAAGGACUGGGAAUGGCUGAGCCAUUACAAACAUUGAUUCUAUCUCCCCUUAGCUGGUCCACACAGAGGAUACCAGCCUACUACUACUAUCAGUUGCUCCAUCAGCACAAGUGGAAGAGGUCUGUGUGGCAGAUCUGACGGUUCCAACCCUGCUGAUGACCCAUGUGGGUAUCAAUAUAAUGCCACAAGAUGGAAUUUGUUUUUUCAGUUUACCUUUUUUAAAAACUAGGAAACUGCACACAAACAGAACUAUGUGAAAAGAACAUUAUUAAGGUUGUAAAGUCAAGCAAAGUGCGCACAGUCCAGAUACCAAGAUACUGGGGCUGGAAAUCUAAGAUGGGUUUCCAGCAUGGCAAGGCAGAGAAUUCUUUCUGUGCCAGCAAAAAUAUUUAGUAUAUUUUAGAUGCAAAGAGAUGUUGUGGCAUUCACUGUGUGACAACUACACAAAAUGCUGCUUUGCAUUGAUGGAGCCCUGGUCACAGUGAAAUCCCAAAAGCUUGGGCACAGGUUGAUCUAUGCCAGUGUUUUCCAAAUGAUGGCUGCUGACUCUCCUAAGUGGCCCCUGGGCCCCUGUUGAAAGUUACCCCCACGCUGAAAUCUGAAAUGGCACCCCAGGGAGCAGAGGAAGGGUGUAUGUAUGUGUGCGCGCACAUGAACACACACUGUAUAUAUACAAUGGUGGGUCUCCAAAAAGACCAAAUAUAGUUGAUGGGUCCCCUUUAGUAAAAAGUGUGGAAGCACCGCUCUAUGCUCCUGAAAGCCCACAUCAAUGAGUAACUGAUUAUGUUGCAAGAGUGAUUCAGCCCUUUGCAAUUCCCAUCCUGCCCACGCAUUUUCAAUCAAUUAACAAGAGUUAUGUUGCGGAGCCACUGUCAUGUGACAGAUUAGCCUCUUGUUUCUCAUGAAAUCUAGAGCCCUCUUUUGAGAGCCAAAGUUGAGCUGCUUAGGGAGUGAGCAUGUGAGCACUGUGUGAGCCUUGAACUGAGGAGUGGGGGGAUGGGACUACAUAACCCUUGCUCACCCCAUUAGGUUGUAAGAAAUGAUUUCUAGAACUCCCAAAGAAAACAGUUGAAAGUAAAUUGACACAGUGAAAACAGAAAUCAACGGAACAAUUAUUUACAGGAACUACAGUAAGUCCAUAAGGGAGAGCUAAGUUACCCUUUCAUUUCUGGAUACUGAUUCUACACAAUGCGAAGAGAACAAUACUAUGGAAGCAAGGAGAGCAAUCCCCACACUGUAGGUCAGUGUUUCCCAAGCGAGGUGUCCUAACCAACCAAAGGGUUUUGGGAAGGGUCUACCACUACCACCACGAGCCCAUCUCAGACCCACACCACUCAUACGAACAUAAGAACAGCCAUAUUGGGUCAGACCAAAGAUCCAUCUUCCGACAGUGGCCAAUGCCAGGUACUCCAGAGGGAAUGAACAGAUCAGGUAAUCAUCAAGUGAUCCAUCCCGUCGC